CUAUUCUCCCGAACAAAACAUACGUUGCGGUACGUGUACGAGACACAACAGCUGUUUUAGAAGUAACGCUGGCUGUGGGAAGAAUCUGGGGAGUCUAACUCAUCGACGGGUUUUCCCGAGGGAAAUUUAAAUUAAUUGAGCAAUCAGUCCUUUUUCAACCGCAUUAAAUUCUAACCUAAAAUCUCACAAUAUAGUUCAACAAUGCUCCGGAUUUCCAGCAGGUCCUUCAACAAGUCACAGACCUUUCAUAAAGCUCAGGAUUCCCUCAGGUUGAAGAAGAAUUUUCAUAACAUUCAAUCGGAACAGAAGACACUUAAAAUCUCGAAAUGCUCAAAAACAAUCAGAAGGGAGUUCUUGGAUUAUUUUGUGGAUAUGGAUCACAAAAUCAUCCCUUCCAGCCGAGUGGCCCCGAUAUUUGAUCCCUCAGUGGCCUUCACCAAUGCCGGUAUGAACCAAUUCAAGGGAAUCUUCCUAGACGAAUUGAAACCCCCACAUUCCCGAGUUGUCAAUCACCAAAAGUGUGUAAGAGUCGGUGGAAAGCACAACGACUUAAAGACCGUGGGGAUGGACAGCUACCAUCACACCUUCUUUGAGAUGCUCGGGAAUUGGUCCUUCGGUGAUUAUGGGAGAAAGGAGGCCUGUGCUUAUGCCUGGGGAUUACUCACAGGUCCUUUUGAAAUACCCAAGGAGCGCUUGUACGUUACGUACUUCUCAGGAGAUUCGACUCUUAACCUUCCCCCAGACCUUGAGACAAAGGAAACCUGGCUGUCCCUCGGCAUUCAUCCCUCUCACGUCUUGCCAUCAGGCUUGCACGACAACUUCUGGGAGAUGUCGCUCGCCGGCCCUUGCGGCCCUUGUACAGAAAUUCACAUAAACACCUCUCAAACGUUAUCAACAUCACUACCGGUACCAUCGGACCUCAAAGAGCUCUGGAAUCUCGUCUUCAUUGAGUAUCAACGUUUUCCGGACUCAUCCAUUCAACCGUUGAAGACUCGCCAUGUGGACACAGGAAUGGGAUUCGAGAGAUUAGUAGCGGUUCUCCAAGGAAAAGACUCCAACUACGACACCGACCUCUUUCUCCCUAUCUUCGAUGCCAUCAAAGCCUCCACCUCAGCGCCUCCAUAUUUGGGAAAAUUUGGAGAUUCCGAUGAAUCAGGGCUGGACACUGGAUACAGAAUCCUAGCCGAUCAUGCCAGGAUGAUCACCAUCUGCAUCGCCGAUGGAAUGAUUCCAGAGGAAAAUCACAAACUUAGACGAGUCGUUAGGAAAGCCAUAACCACCGGGACGGAAGUUUUCCGGAAAGAAAAACUUCUGUCUCAGAUCUGUUAUCACGUUGCUGAGACCCUUGGUGAUGUUUACCCAGAUGUAACGAAAAACUUGAAGAAAGUCCAAACGAUCGUCGAAUACGAAGAGGACCUUCUGAAGGAGUUGAAAAAAUCCUCGGGGAAGAUUUGGGGAGAGCUGGUAAAGGAGAGACCCGAACUGAAAGGCAUCAGUGAUCCUCAUGCCUCUGGACUGGUCCAGGGGUACAAGGAACUCCAGAAAGGACUAGUAGAGGGAGAACAGAAGCUGAAGACCAUUCCUAGGGAUCUAGGAUUCAAGCUGUACGAUACUUAUGGACUCGAUUCUGAGUUGAUCGAGGAACUGGCAGAAGUAGAGGGGGUGAAGUUUGAUAGGGAGGGGUUCGAGGAAAAGAUGAAAGAGGCCAGGGUUCGAUUCAGGACUGGGCUGACAGAGGAGAGGAUCUCUCUGAGCGGUUUAGUGGACCUGGGGAAGGGAACCGAUGAUGCUGGGAAAUAUCAGUAUUGGGAGGAGGGUGAGGGGUAUGGAUUUAAGGACGUGUCGGCCAAAAUUUUGGGGAUUUUGGUGAACGGUGAAUUAAUAAAAGAAAAGUCACUUCGUCUGACGAAGUUCCUGAAAGAUAAAGAAAUUGGAAUAAUUCUCGAUAAAACAACAUUCUACGCCCCAGAGGGAGGUCAGUUCUCAGAUAAAGGGCACCUAGUGGUAAAGAAUCUAGUCUUCAAUGUCGCCGAGGUUCAAAAACUCCAAAAUUUCGUGAUUCACGUAGGAAGUUUUGACCCAUCUAUUCUUAGCGAAGAAGCCAAUGAACUGUCAAUCAAUGACGAUGUGAAAUUAUCUCUGGAUAGAGCACAUAGGAUCUCCAUGAUGAGACAUCAUACAGCAACUCAUCUCCUUAGCUCUGCCCUGAGCCAAGUGUUUCCAGCAAUUUCUCAGAGAGGAAGUAUUGUCAGACAUGAUCAUCUUAUUUUCCAAUUCAGUGCCUAUGGGAAAGUGAUUACUUCUGAAGAUAUUAAGUCGAUAGAGGCAUUAAUCAAUAGGUGCAUCGAUGCUAGAGUCCCGGUAAAGACCAAAAUCGUGGAUUGUAUUGAAUUCAAUAGGGAGGAGGGGGUAGUUCUAGUUCCUGGAAUGAUUUAUCCAGAGAAACAUAUGAGGAUCGUAGAAAUUAAUGACGACCAUUUGAAAUCCAAGGAAGCAUGUUGUGGAACCCACGUGCAUAAUACCAGUGCAUUGAACUAUUUUCGAAUAAUCGAGGUGACGUCGAAAGGCUCAUCGUCUAGAACAAUAAAAGCAGUGGCGGGCCCUGAAGCGCGAAAUUCGAUCCCCACGGAACAAUUUUUAAAAAUUUCUUCAGUAGCUUCAAACGACUCUAAAGCAACCGCUGAGAGACGAAAAAUGUUUGAGGAUUUCAUGAGCUGUGAAAUCAAUUUCGCAGUAGAGAAUACAACGGAGGAUUUUAUCGUUCACUGUCUUCCAGCGACCUCGAUUGAUGUCGAGGCCGUUCCCCUGCAGAAAAUUGAAGAAUUAUUUUCCGAGAAACCUGUUUUGAUUAUUGCCAAGGGGAAGAGAAAAGUCAAAGCCCGAUGUUUCGUGCCACAGAACUAUGUGACGAAGGAUUUCAACGCUGAAUUAUGGAUGAGAUCAGUAAAUAACGUUCUGAAGUCGACACUAGGUUCGUACAGCGACGAAAAUCCAUUAUUAACUAGUCACGUGAGAAUGAUCAAACUAUCGAGAGCGGAAAUAAAUUCUAGAAUGUUUGGAGAACUACUGAUGAAAUGAGAAGGGCAAUCGAAACAAAAAAUGAAUUACCAGUGAUCACAUGUGAAUUCUUCAAAAUGAGAACGAGAAUCCAGAGGUGGUAAAUCCUGGUAGAGGCAGGCGUGGGCAGUCUUUAAGAACGGUCCUGGGUAUAUCCUGCCUUCCUCCUCCUUAAAGGAUUUGGCGACACAAAAUAGAACGGCUAAGGAGAGUACAUUUCUGUCAAAACGACUGAAGGAUUGAUACAUGAAGAAUCUGUGCAUAAGGACCGAUGCUGUAUUUAUCCAUAGUUGUGGACUUUGGAAUAAAAUUAUUAAUUAAGGAAAAUUUCUCAUUAAAUU